GGUAAAUUUCUUCUAAAGCUAAAUAUUGGCGAGAGACCGAUAGCGCACAAGUAGAGUGAUCGAAAGAUGAAAAGCACUUUGGAAAGAGAGUUAAAAAGCACGUGAAAUUGUUGAAAGGGAAGCGCUUGCAAUCAGACUUGUUUAAACUGUUCGGCCGGUCUUCUGACCGGUUUACUCAGUUUGGACAGGCCAGCAUCAGUUUCGGCGGCCGGAUAAAGGCUCUGGGAAUGUGGCCUUCACUUCGGUGAAGGUGUUAUAGCCCAGGGUGUAAUACGGCCAGCCGGGACUGAGGUCCGCGCUUCGGCUAGGAUGCUGGCGUAAUGGUUGUAAGCGACCCGUCUUGAAACACGGACCAAGGAGUCUAACAUCUAUGCGAGUGUUCGGGUGUCAAACCCCUGCGCGUAAUGAAAGUGAACGGAGGUGGGAACCGCAAGGUGCACCAUCGACCGAUCCUGAUGUCUUCGGAUGGAUUUGAGUAAGAGCAUAGCUGUUGGGACCCGAAAGAUGGUGAACUAUGCCUGAAUAGGGUGAAGCCAGAGGAAACUCUGGUGGAGGCUCGCAGCGGUUUCUGACGUGCAAA
rnacentral:rRNA from 1 species